rnacentral:rRNA from 1 species
AAGGUGGAUUUGUGAGUAAUUUUAUUGUAAAAUUGUUGAGUGAAAAGUGGAAUAACAUGUGUACAUAUUGCCCGUCGCUCUCUUAGUUUUGAGAUAAGUCGUAACAUAGUUGGUGCACUGGAAAGUGUAUCUUUUUGA